rnacentral:rRNA from 1 species
AGAGUUUGAUCCUGGCUCAGAACGAACGCUGGCGGCGUGCCUAACACAUGCAAGUCGAGCGAGAAAGCCCGCAAGGGUGAGUAAAGCGGCGCACGGGUGCGUAACACGUGGGUAAUCUGCCCUAGAGUCCGGAAUAACUCGCCGAAAGGCGUGCUAAUGCCGGAUGAGACCACGGGAGCUUCGGCUCCUGCGGGAAAAGGUGGCCUCUGUACACAAGCUAUCGCUCUAGGAUGAGCCCGCGGCCCAUCAGCUCGUUGGCGGGGUAAUGGCCCACCAAGGCAACGACGGGUAGCUGGUCUGAGAGGACGAUCAGCCACACUGGAACUGAGACACGGUCCAGACUCCUACGGGAGGCAGCAGUGGGGAAUCUUGCGCAAUGGGCGAAAGCCUGACGCAGCAACGCCGCGUGUGUGAUGAAGGUCUUCGGAUCGUAAAGCACUGUCGCGAGGGACGAAUAAGGGACGGGCGAACAGUCCGUCACGAUGACGGUACCUCGAGAGGAAGCACCGGCUAACUCUGUGCCAGCAGCCGCGGUAAUACAGAGGGUGCGAGCGUUGUUCGGAAUUAUUGGGCGUAAAGCGCGUGUAGGCGGCCUAGCAAGUCGGAUGUGAAAGCCCUCGGCUUAACCGAGGAAGUGCGUUCGAAACUACUGGGCUUGAGUACCGGAGAGGGUGGCGGAAUUCCCGGUGUAGAGGUGAAAUUCGUAGAUAUCGGGAGGAACACCAGUGGCGAAGGCGGUCACCUGGACGGAUACUGACGCUGAGACGCGAAAGCGUGGGUAGCAAACAGGAUUAGAUACCCUGGUAGUCCACGCUGUAAACGAUGAGCGCUAGGUGUUGCGGGUGUUGACCCCUGCAGUGCCGCAGCUAACGCAUUAAGCGCUCCGCCUGGGAAGUACGGCCGCAAGGCUAAAACUCAAAGGAAUUGAACGG